rnacentral:lncRNA from 1 species
CUUUCUUAGAACGCUAUGGAUCUUAUUAAACACACAUUGAGUAAGUUCAAUUUGGAUGGUUUAAAGAUAGUCAGUCUUUUAGCCCAGAUUUAAGAAGACUUGCUUGAAAAAGAUCACAAGAGCUUUUAAUGCUUGCCACAGAAAGUGAAUGUCUCCCUUUUUCUGUUUAGUACACUGCAUUCCAAAGAAUGAGAAAGGUUAUCUCAUAGGUAGCUAAUGGAAGAAAAAAGAAUGAAGACUUGAACGGAGGGUUCGUGCUUCUUUCUGUUUUAGAUGGCGGAGAUGCCGUGGAAAUGUGUCAGUAGCUAACGUUCGCUGAGCACCAACCGUGUCAGGGCUCUCAGCCCGUCUCACGGUCGGGGUACUCCAUCUCCACGAGGACCUCACGAGACAGGUGCGACGACUCUGUUUCACAUCGAAGCGUUAUUGGCAGAGCACGGGCCACCUGGAUUGAUGAAUGCUGGUGUGUGUCUGGCUGCUGAACCGCAGGACAAAAGAAACAGUCCUUAAGCCAGCAGUAAUCCAGUCUCAAUUAUCCAUCACGGACAUCUCUUAAAGUCAUGUCUUGAAGUUCAUCCACAACAUUUUUAAUUCAAAAUAUGUGCUAUUUUAAAAAAGCUGUUUACUCAAAGUUGAGGGCAGAAAAAUAUUUGAAAUUUUAAUUGCAAGCAAAGUAUUCAAAUCUGUCCUACACUUUCACUUAUGUAUCUACUUUCUUAAAAUCCAACUGCGUGGCUCUCCUUUACAAGACAAACAGGAGCAUCCUGGCUUUAGCUCUGACCUUUAGUUUAGAACCAAAGACCUAGUCGAGGAGAAGCUGUAAGUCCACUGAACUGUUCAUAGACGUGUUUGCUCCCAACCCUGGCCACUGAAAUGUAUUGUGAUUUUCCUUAUGAUUAGAAAAUAUGUGUUCAUUUUAGAAAGUACUGGAAAUAUGGGAAAAGAUAAUAAAAAUUAAAAUUCCAAACCUAGAUUCCAAACUCUAGAAAAAAUAUUCUUUUUCCG